UUUAAAUAAAAUAUUGUAUUUGGUAUUUUUUUAAUAAAACAUUUAAUAAUUUUACUAUAAGAGUACAUUUAAAAAAAUUACUGUUAUAUACUGGUAUUGGUGCCAAUAAAUAUUUCCAGUAAUCUUAUUUACUAUCAUACGCAAAUGUCACAUUCAAUGAUAAAAAUAUGUUUAAGCUUACUUUUCAUUUGCAAAAUAUCAUUAGCACUUGAUAAUGGAUUGGCAUUAACACCACCAAUGGGUUGGCUUGCUUGGCAACGAUUCAGAUGUAAUAUUGACUGCAGUAAUUUUCCAGAUGAAUGUAUCAGUGAAAAACUAUUUAUAACAACUGCUGAUUUAUUAGUAAGUGAAGGGUAUGAUAAAUUUGGAUACAACUAUGUUGUAAUUGAUGACUGUUGGAUGCAAACAAACCGAACAGCAGAUGGAAAACUACAAGCUGAUAAAAAACGAUUUCCUAAUGGAAUUAAAGCUCUUGCUGAUUAUGUUCAUUCAAAAGGGUUAAAAUUUGGAAUUUAUGAAAGUGUUGGAUCAAAAUCUUGCGAAGGAUAUGCUGGUAUUGCAGGUCAUGAACAAAUUGAUGCUCAAACAUUUGCAGAAUGGGAAGUUGAUUAUGUAAAAUUAGAUGGCUGUUACACGGAUGAACAAAAUAUGAAUAAAAGUUUCCCACAGUUUGGAAAAUAUUUAAAUGAAACUGGGAGACCUAUGGUUUAUUCUUGUUGUUGGCCAUUUUAUCAAGAACGUAAAGGAAUAAAUGUUAAUUAUACACUAGUUGCCCAAUCAUGUAAUUUAUGGAGAAACUAUGGAGAUAUUCAAGAAUCUUAUGAUUCUUUAGUUGAUGUAUUUGAUCAUUUUGCACUGAAACAAGAUAUUUGGGCAAAAUAUGCAGGCCCAGGACAUUGGAAUGAUCCAGAUAUGUUGUUGAUAGGGAACUUUGCAUUAAGUUAUGAGCAAAGCAAAACACAAAUGGCUCUAUGGUCUAUAUUAGCUGCACCUUUAUUUAUGUCUAACAAAUUGUCUACUAUAAAACCAGAAUACAAAAAAAUAUUACAGAACAAAGAAGUAAUUAGAGUAAAUCAAGAUAAGCUUGGCAUACAAGGCAAAAGGAUUUAUGAGGAUCAAGGAAUUGAAGUAUGGAUGAGACCGAUAGAACCAACAAAAGCUGAAUACUAUUCCUUUGCAAUUGCUUUUGUUAGUCGACGAACAAUUGGAACACCAUUCUUAUAUACUACUACAUUAAAUAAAUUACAAAUGAAAAACCCAUUCGGUUACAAAAUUAAGGAUUUAUUUGAUGUUAAUUCUAAUAUACAAGUUUUAAAGUCAAAUUCAACACUUAAAGCAAUAAUUAAUCCAUCAGGUGUUAUUUUACUUCGAGCUGAUAUUAUUACACAACAUGAGGACAUUGAAAAACAUCUGAAUGAAUUCUACAUAACCAGUGUAUGAAUAUUAGUUGAACACUAUACACAAAAAUAUAAUUUAAACAGUAUAAUAUAGUACGAUUUUAAAAAUUGUAAAAAUAAAAUAGAAAGUAAUAGCAAUA